rnacentral:rRNA from 2 species
CAAGUACCGUGAGGGAAAGUUGAAAAGUACUCUGAAGAGAGAGUAAACAGUACGUGAAACUGCUCAGAGGUAAACGGGUAGAGUUGAACUGCAAGCCCUGGAGAUUCAGCUGAUGAACGUGGUAUAAGCUUGGUUAUUACAGCCGGCUGCCGAGGUCUGCUUAAUUGCAGGUUGCUGCCUUUGGGUGGCGAUUCGCGUGCACUUUCCAAGUGUUGCGACCCUUUGUUGACCGGGCCAGUUCGUCAGUGCACUUCUUCAGGGUGUUCAUCACGACCGACGUGCAGUCGGCCUACUGUGCUAAUGGCAGGUAGCUCAUUUGCUCUCGGGCAUUUGAGUGUAAUAGCCGAGUGCGGUGGUGCUGUGCAGUGCGUCGGAGACGGCGGCUUUUGUGUUACUGUGUACAGCUGUAUGUCAGAGCAUAUCAUGAGCCAAUAGUCUGUGAUGUAGUGGUAAGCUCUCUACCCGACCCGUCUUGAAACACGGACCAAGGAGUUUAACAUGUGCGCGAGUCAUUGGGUUCACGAAACCUAAAGGCGCAGUGAAAGUAAAUGUUCGGCUUGUUCGGACUGAGGUGAGAUCUUGUCGUUUCUCAUGCGUGGUACUACCAAGCAUUCGAGCGGCAGGCGCAUCACCGGCCCGUCCCAUGGUGUGGUCAUGGUCUUUCGGGGCUAUGCGUCACCGGGGCGGAGCAUGAGCGUACAUGUUGAGACCCGAA